rnacentral:lncRNA from 1 species
UUUUAGUUGCUCACUCCUGUUCUUUAGUGGAUCUUUUCUGUACAGUCCAAUUCUGCUCUUCUCCAAGUGUCAACUUUUAUAUACUAAUCACAAAGUUGAAACUUAUAGAACCAUUUUUUGUUUAUUUUCUCCUCUCUCUCUCUCUCUCUCUCUCUCUCUCUCUCUCUCUCUCUCUGCCUUCUGUCCUUCCAUAACUAACUGGAAUCAGAACCAAAUCUUAUCCCUUUGCAUCUUUUUUCAGCAUGCAAGUUAAAUGAAAUUUUUUACUUACAGACUUAACACAAUGAUAAUAUACCAGAGC